AUUGAACGCUGGCGGCAUGCUUUACACAUGCAAGUCGAACGGCAGCGCGGGGCAACCUGGCGGCGAGUGGCGAACGGGUGAGUAAUAUAUCGGAACGUACCCAAGAGUGGGGGAUAACGUAGCGAAAGUUACGCUAAUACCGCAUACGAUCUAUGGGAUGAAAGCAGGGGACCGCAAGGCCUUGUGCUCCUGGAGCGGCCGAUAUCUGAUUAGCUAGUUGGUGAGGUAAUGGCUCACCAAGGCGACGAUCAGUAGCUGGUCUGAGAGGACGACCAGCCACACUGGAACUGAGACACGGUCCAGACUCCUACGGGAGGCUG
rnacentral:rRNA from 1 species